GUAAUGCACACAAGUGGAUUGUUUUUUUAGUCGUACUACGCAAGUAUAGUAAAAUAACAGAUCGGGUGAACAAUUACAUACUAAAAUAAUAUAUGCACCGCGAAUUGGCAUAUUUGUGACAGAAGAAUAAACGUUCCUUUUCUGAAUCAAAAAUACGCUAAUUGCCCCUUGAGGCUUGCUAACGCGCGCCUGUACUUGCUUUUUUCGGUAAUAUCAGUCGGCGUCUCAGUCUGCGAGAAUGAUCAUCAAGAUACGGGAUCAAAGUGCACGCAUCUACUUACCGCAUUGACCGAGUGCUUAUAGAUUGAUGUUUAAGACUUCCAGUAGAUAAAGGCUACACGUUUGUACACAACGGCGUUACUGGGACUUUUCGAAGUAGCGGCCGGUCUGGUAGCCCUCGGCUUGGCCGUCUACUACUACCUAACCUCGAACAUGGACUUCUGGAGCAGCCGCGGUGUCAAAGGUCCGAAGCCAAGGCCAUUGUUCGGGUCAACGCUCGACUUCGCGAUCGGCCGCAUGUCCUUGCUCAGUCCCGUAUUUCACGAUCGAGAGCUGAACGACUUCUUCAUCGGUACCAUCAGCCAGACUAUGGAUUACAGGAAGAAGAAUAACGUCGAGCGCAACGAUUUCAUCGAUCUGCUCAUGGCCAUCAAGGACGAUCCGAGCAAAAAAUGACGGACACUGUGAUUGCCUCCCAGGCUUUCAUAUUUUUCCUCGCGGGCUUCGAGACCUCCUCGUCGACCAUAAGUCACACUUUGUACGAGUUGGCUCAGAAUCAAGCGAUUCAGGAUAAACUCCGCGAAGAAAUCGUCGAAGAACUCAAGAUUCAUAACGGAGAAAUAACGUACGAAAGCGUCAAAGGCAUGAAGUACCUGCACAAAAUUUUCUGCGAAACUUUGAGAAAAUACACACCACUUAGUGUGAUCCAAAGAAACUCGCUAGAACCGUACACGUUCUCGGGAACGAAAGUGACGAUACCAAAAGAUACCGAGCUGUGGAUUCCAAUUUACGCGAUUCAACAUGAUCCGGACAUUUAUCCCUAACCUGAGAAGUACGAUCCCGAAAGAUUCGACGAUGAAAAUAUGAAGCAGAGACAUCCCUCUUUUUAUUUGCCUUUUGGAGAUGGCGCUCGCUUCGGUAAUUACCAGACGAAACUUGGUAUCAUUCAAGUCUUGAAAAAUUACAAGGUCGAGGUCUGCGAUCAAACUCGCAUACCUUAUACGAUCGAUCCGAAACAGUUUUUACUGGCACCAAUCGAUGGCAUCGAAUUAAAGUUUCGGAAAAUCUAGUCCCAAUACUUGUUAUUCGUUAUACUUUAAGAAAAGACAACUUUUAUACCGAAAAUUCAUUGAAGCGAGGGGAGCAUUUUCUUAACUGUAAUUCAUAAUUAUAUAAACGUACAUUUUGUUUUAAUUUACAUAUGCUACAAAUAUUACAAAAA